UACGUAGGGUGCGAGCGUUGUCCGGAAUUAUUGGGCGUAAAGAGCUUGUAGGCGGUUUGUCGCGUCUGCCGUGAAAAUCCGGGGCUCAACCCCGGACUUGCGGUGGGUACGGGCAGACUAGAGUGUGGUAGGGGAGACUGGAAUUCCUGGUGUAGCGGUGAAAUGCGCAGAUAUCAGGAGGAACACCGGUGGCGAAGGCGGGUCUCUGGGCUACUACUGACGCUGAGAAGCGAAAGCUUGGGGAGCGAACAGG
rnacentral:rRNA from 1 species